AGACCCGAAACCCGGUGAUCUAGCCAUGGGCAGGUUGAAGGUUGGGUAACACUAACUGGAGGACCGAACCGACUAAUGUUGAAAAAUUAGCGGAUGACCUGUGGCUGGGGGUGAAAGGCCAAUCAAACCGGGAGAUAGCUGGUUCUCCCCGAAAGCUAUUUAGGUAGCGCCUCGUGAAUUCAUCUCCGGGGGUAGAGCACUGUUUCGGCUAGGGGGCCAUCCCGGCUUACCAACCCGAUGCAAACUGCGAAUACCGGAGAAUGUUAUCACGGGAGACACACGGCGGGUGCUAACGUCCGUCGUGAAGAGGGAAACAACCCAGACCGCCAGCUAAGGUCCCAAAGUCAUGGUUAAGUGGGAAACGAUGUGGGAAGGCCCAGACAGCCAGGAUGUUGGCUUAGAAGCAGCCAUCAUUUAAAGAAAGCGUAAUAGCUCACUGGUCGAGUCGGCCUGCGCGGAAGAUGUAACGGGGCUAAACCAUGCACCGAAGCUGCGGCAGCGAACGUAUCACCCAAGACAACUUUGCGGAGUUGACGAUUGACGGAGCGAAGCGACGUCAAAGCGUUCAUUAAAGUCGAGUUGGCUUAGGGAUACGUUCGUUGGGUAGGGGAGCGUUCUGUAAGCCUGUGAAGGUGUGCUGUGAGGCAUGCUGGAGGUAUCAGAAGUGCGAAUGCUGACAUAAGUAACGAUAAAGCGGGUGAAAAGCCCGCUCGCCGGAAGACCAAGGGUUCCUGUCCAACGUUAAUCGGGGCAGGGUGAGUCGACCCCUAAGGCGAGGCCGAAAGGCGUAGUCGAUGGGAAACGGGUUAAUAUUCCCGUACUUGGUGUUACUGCGAAGGGGGGACGGAGAAGGCUAUGUUGGCCGGGCGACGGUU
rnacentral:rRNA from 1 species